UUCAAGGGCAUGCAAGAAGACAUUCAACUCCCUGGAGAAAAGAAAACACAACAAAACGAUGAAGUUUUAUUAACAGGUUAUUUUGAGUCUGUUUCUUCAAAUUCCAGUUCAAAAGUUUGGACCAGGAUAAAUUGAGAGAAAAAACCUUGCCGUGAUUUUGCAAAGUUGGAGCCAGGGAACACACACGCAAGCCUUGAGUCUUUGCAUGGCAGUCCAACAGCAGGAGUGCUUGUAUACCACGCAGCUCCAUGCCGUAUCUUUUGAACAAAGAAUGAACCCAAGGAUGAAAAGCAGCCAGAAAGACUACAGAUGCCCCAGGAGAGCCUCUUCCCAUGCCUCACUCUGCCUCAGAGUCCCUGGCACUGGCGUCUGAGUGAGGAAGCAAGAGAGGUGAUCCUGAAGUCCUUAACUGCCCCGUAAGUUACCUGAAAGCCUGCUGUCCUCCCAGGACCUGUCCAAGCUGCACCUGAGGGAGAGAAGCCCACCUGCUCCAGCUCUUCCAGAGUAACAGCACUGACACAGGUGUUCCGUUAAAACCAGCAACCAACCCAGGAAGAUUGGAAUGGACUUGGUGGAGCAGGUUCCUGACUGGUCAGAGCAGAAGAAUACGUAUACAAUGAGAAAUACGCUUCUCUCUUAAAGUUAUUUAAACAACUGUUAAUCUUCCACUCAGUAGCUUCUAUGAUGUAGGAGCUGGGAGAGGGACCAGAACUCCAAUAGUAACACGACAGGACCCUAAAGAGUUUUGGAGCUCCUGGUCACAGUCCACAGUGGAGACAACACAGAACAGCUAUGACACAUUGGACCCUACACUUAACGCCCAGCGUCUUCUAAGAAGAGGAAACAGGGAGGAACCUACAGAAGGUGACCAAGGCAGAGGCUGGAGUGGUGCUGCCACAAGCCAAGGGUACCAGGAGUCACCGGGAGCUAGAAAAGGCACAGGCGGGUCUUCCCCAGGCUUUGUUGGGAGGGCCACCUUGCUGACACUUUCCUUUCCCACUUCCUGUUUCCGCUCUGUGAGAGGAAGUUUCUGUGUCCCAAGCCUCCACGUGUCUGGUAAUUUGUCUCAGCAGUGCUAGGAAAGUCUCUCAGCCUAUCCUGGAACUGAGGCUACUAGCACGAAUAUCAGGGAACACUUGUCUUAAGUUCAAAGAGUGAUGAUACAAAACAAAUGGGCAGCCUUAUAGUGAACGCAUCUGGAAAACUGUACAGAAUUAAAAUGUUUAAACUUAUGUUUAUUCCUUUCUUUCUUUUUCUCCUUUAGAGCUAGGUCUCAUCCUAUUGCUCAAGUUGGCCUCCAACUCCUGGGCUCAACUGAUCCUCCUGUGUAGCUGGGACAUCGGUGUGGGC
ensembl:lncRNA